GAGCAACACGGUAGGAUGACUAAAGGAUGCAACACUUCUGGACGGGAAUUACAUGUUCAAGAAUUGUUUUGAAAUGUACAAGGAAGAUAUUGGCAUUCUCCUUCCGCCAUCAGCUGUUCAACAUCUGCGAGCUGCAAAGGCUCUCCUGUAUGACAAGGAAGCAGUAGACGCGUCAUUCGCAAUGCUCAUUUUAUGUGCUUCCAAGGGAUGCGGCCAAAGGACGACCUGCGGAUGUGCGAGUCACGUUUAUGGGAGCUGCAAAAAAGAAUUAAAGUGUAUCCCCAGUGUUUGUUA